UACAGAGGGUGCAAGCGUUAAUCGGAAUUACUGGGCGUAAAGCGUGCGUAGUCGGUUAUUUAAGUCGGGUGUGAAAGCCCCGGGCCCAACCUGGGAAUUGCAUUCGAUACUGGAUAGCUAGAGUUCGGCAGAGGGAAGCGGAAUUUCCGGUGUAGCGGUGAAAUGCGUAGAUAUCGGAAGGAACAUCAGUGGCGAAAGCGGCUUCCUGGACCGGUUCUGACGCUGAUGCGCGAAAGCGUGGGUAGCAAACAGG
rnacentral:rRNA from 1 species